AGUCGAGGGGCAGCAUGAUUGAAGCUUGCUUCAAUUGAUGGCGACCGGCGCACGGGUGAGUAACGCGUAUCCAACCUUCCGUACACUCAGGGAUAGCCUUUCGAAAGAAAGAUUAAUACCUGAUGGUAUGAUGAGAUUGCAUGAUAUCAUCAUUAAAGAUUCAUCGGUGUACGAUGGGGAUGCGUUCCAUUAGGUAGUAGGCGGGGUAACGGCCCACCUAGCCGACGAUGGAUAGGGGUUCUGAGAGGAAGGUCCCCCACAUUGGAACUGAGACACGGUCCAAACUCCUACGGGAGGCAGCAGUGAGGAAUAUUGGUCAAUGGACGAGAGUCUGAACCAGCCAAGUAGCGUGAAGGAUGAAGGUCCUACGGAUUGUAAACUUCUUUUAUAAGGGAAUAAAACCUCCCACGUGUGGGAGCUUGUAUGUACCUUAUGAAUAAGCAUCGGCUAACUCCGUGCCAGCAGCCGCGGUAAUACGGAGGAUGCGAGCGUUAUCCGGAUUUAUUGGGUUUAAAGGGAGCGCAGACGGGUCGUUAAGUCAGCUGUGAAAGUUUGGGGCUCAACCUUAAAAUUGCAGUUGAUACUGGCGUCCUUGAGUGCGGUUGAGGUGUGCGGAAUUCGUGGUGUAGCGGUGAAAUGCUUAGAUAUCACGAA
rnacentral:rRNA from 1 species